rnacentral:rRNA from 1 species
UUGACCGUACUAAGGUAGCAUAAUAAUUUGCCUUUUAAUUGGAGGCUAGUAUGAAUGGCUUGACGUGAAAUAUACUGUCUCAACUAUAUUUAGUAGAAUUUAACUUUUAGGUGAAGAGGCCUAAAUUUUGUGGGAAGACAAGAAGACCCUAUUGAGCUUUAAAUAUUUAUGUUAGUGGGAACCUAAGAUUUAUAUGAUGGUCAUUACUUCUAAGUAUGUUGGUUGGGGCGACCGAGGAGUAUAAAGUAACCUCCUUGUAAUGUAAAGAAUUUGUUAUCAACGAACCUGUAAUAUAGGUUAUUCGGUAGUUACCAUAGGGAUAACAGCGUAAUUCUUUUGAAGAGUUCAUAUCGAAGAAAGAGAUUGCGACCUCGAUGUUGGAUUAAGGUGUCCUAAGGG